rnacentral:lncRNA from 1 species
CAGGGAUUGAGCAUCUGCCUUUGGCCCAGGGCGUGACCCCGGGGUCCCGGCAUCGAGUCCCGUGUUGGGCUCCCUGCGAAGAGCCUGCUUCUCCCUCUGCCUGUGUCUCUGCCUCUCUCUCUCUCUCUGUUUCUCAUGAAUAAAUAAAAUCUUAAAAAAAAAAAGAAUAAUCACAAUUUUUGCCACUGUCAGUACAACUCUGUUUUCAUUGCCUGGUAUUGAGAAAUGCUUUUAACUUCUUUUCAUGACCAUUUGGCCCACUGGUUAGUUUUACAGUUUGCUGCUCUGGGCAAUCUGGACAACUUACCAUUACUGCAGAUGCUUUUUGCUUUUCUCCCUUCAUACUUUUGUCUAUGUGGAAUAUCAUCUCCCAUCACCCCAAGACCAAAUUGAAUGCAUGAGUACGUGACAGACAAGUUCUUGUCAUGGGUCACAUUUCAUGCCCUAUUUACUGUCUAGAUGUGAAUUGGAAAUGAGAUUCUGAAGCCUUUAGUGGUUUGUUUUUUUAAGAUGUUAUUUAUUUAUUCAUGAGAGACACAGAGAGAGGCAGAGACCCAGGCAGAGGGAGAAGCAGGCUCCAUGCAGGGAGCCCGAUUCGGGACUCGAUCCCAGGACCCUGGGGUCAUGUCCUGAGCUGAAGGCAGAUGCUCAACCACUGAGCCGCCCUGGUGCCCCACCCUUAGUUUUGAGUUUACAUCACAAUUGGAAGGUAUGUAUGCUUAGGAUCAAUGUUACAGUGAACAUACAGAACUGAUGUGUGAUUUCUGAGUGAUUCCUGAUUUUUCACUCUGAGCAGAUGAGAAAUGAGAGAAGGCCUUCUACUGCCCACACCAUCCAAGUCACAUCAAAGAGCAGCUCCGAGCAGUUGGUCGGACACAGCAGGAGAUCAGCAGCCUGAGAUGCUGUUUGCUGCACCCAGCCUGAGCAGACCCCCACCCAGCCUGAGCAGACCCGAGCCGCCGAGGGUGGCUGGGCCCACCCCUCGGCUCGCACAGUACGGAGGGAGGAUGCCGGUUGUCGCCCAGAGCCCAGAGAAGAGGCACCCGUGUGACCUGGAAUGA